rnacentral:misc_RNA from 1 species
GGCGACCAGCGACCGGCGACCAGCUGACCACUAAUCAGUUUUGGAGUUGUCCAAAAAAUUAGAUAUGUGGGAAACUAAUAUGAUGGAAGGUGGAACUAUAGCAUGUUCAAUUCAAUAUGAAGAUUGGAAUAAUAUGAGGAAUGUUACAAAGUUUCUUGAAAAAUUUUAUGAGCUCACUUUGAAUGUUUCAGGUUCACGAGAUGGAAAAUAGUGGAAGAA